rnacentral:rRNA from 1 species
GUAGGGAAUUUUGCGCAAUGGGCGAAAGCCUGACGCAGCGACGCCGCGUGAGGGAUGAAGGUCUUCGUGAUCGUAAACCUCUGUCAGGAAGGAUUAAAUGCACAGAUGCUAACAUCAUUUGUGCUUGACUUAACUUCUAGAGGAAGCCCCGGCUAACUACGUGCCAGCAGCCGCGGUAAUACGUAGGGGGCUAGCGUUACUCGGAUUUAUUGGGCGUAAAGCGAAUGUAGGCGGUUUGCCAAGUCAGAGGUGAAAGCCCUCAGCCUAACUGAGGAAUUGCCUUUGAUACUAUCGAACUAGAGGACAGGAGAGGAAAGUGGAAUUCCCGGUGUAGCGGUGGAAUGCGUAGAUAUCGGGAGGAACACCUGAGGCGAAGGCGGCUUUCUGGACUGUUCCUGACGCUGAGAUUCGAAAGCCAGGGGAGCAAACAGGAUUAGAAACCCUAGUAGUCC